rnacentral:piRNA from 1 species
CGUGCUAGUGCUCUCUCUGGCCUGGGUC